rnacentral:tRNA from 1 species
GUUCUUAUAGUUGAAUAACAACGAUGAUUUUUCAUGUCAUUGGUCCUGGUUAAAGCCUAGGUGAGAAUG